rnacentral:lncRNA from 1 species
CAAAAAUUACAUAAACUAACUUAUAAACAGGCCCAUGCUUGGCACUGGCUUAUGAACUAGUGCAGCAUAAAGUUGAACUAUCCAUUUCCAUAGUUCGUAUAACCAGGAAGGAAUCUCAAUACCAGUAAGAUAGAGGAUGGUAAAGGGAAUUACUACAUCUGAUUCCCAGAAGUCAAGGAAUGUUUCAUCACUUUACAUAUAGAUUACAUCAUCGCUGGGAAAAAUGGUUAAAUAAAUUCAUUAAAAUAAAACAGAAUAACAAUAUAAGUGGAGGAACGGUUCAAAAAUGUACUUGAUGACUAGUUGUCAUCUAGGUUUUAUCAGAUAUGAUGCACCAAGAAUUGCCUACGACAGUACAUGUGACGACCCCAAAUCCAGGUACUUGAAAUCCGAACUCGGUUCUCCACGAUACCAUUUCUUUAAGCUGAAUAAUACUAAAUAAUAAUACAUUCAAACUUAAUUUACAUACAUCAAAGUUUACUUCCCCAGGUGCGUGACCUUCAAAUACAUUCCUUACAAUACUUGAAUAGAUACCAAUACAACUAUAAUCAUUAACUCAUAAUACACACUUAUUCGAUCAGCUUUCCUUUUUCAUUUGUUCGUGCCUGAGCCUUCAGGUUGCUCAUACAUAACUGAAAACAUUUAAUUUAAGCAAGGAUGAGCAUUUAAGUGCCCAGCAAGUAAUAACAAUUAUAUAUAAGCUGAAAGAAUAUAAGUAUUCUCUUUACAUAACACUUCUACAACGAAUUGAAAGUUAUGAAGUAAUCUGUACUGAUAAAAAAAUCACAUAACAACUCUCUUUCAAAUUCUUUAAAUUUGGCUCUGGCUCUACCCUUGAAUAGGGUUUAAGAAACAUACUAUGAACAUUCUUUUCAUUUUCGAAAAGGUUUAGCGGAAUUCUAUCCUCAAACCGUCAUAACUUACGGGCACGGAGGGUGAUCAGCCCCGUUGUACCCUGUAUUGAUCAAUACUACAUAACUUGAACGAAAUUCAUCGCUCACUCUAUCCGCCUUGCGCAAAAAUCUUCCCAUAUAGGGAUGUUCAUACAUGCCUGGUUCCAAACCCGAAGGUUUUUAAUCUUGCUCAACAAUAAUAUGUAAUUCAACAUAUAUAUACGGGUAAUUGACAAAGGUGUAUCAACAUGUGAACAAAUGCCAUGAUUAUCCAAGUGGGGACACUUGUAUAACCAUUUAUAGAAAUCAAUGAACAGAAUAUAUAUCUGAGCUAACAUGUCGAUAAUCAAAGAGUACAUAAUCUGUACAGGGAUAGAAUAAUUCUGAAACUUCUUACUCAUGUCCAUUGCAUAAAGGAAGUGCAAAGGUAGGAUACUUGCCUGAUUCGCUGAUUACAAAUCUCAACUUAGGUUUUAUCUCUUUAUCACAACCUAUCAAUAAUCAGAUCAUUCGUUCGAUUAGAACAAUAUAUCUUAACACAUAGUACUGUCUAUUACAGUCAGCACAUAGUCUAAUCACAUAAUCACAGUGAUCAUACUUUUAGUUCCUAUUCUAUACUUGAAAUAUUUUUAUACAUUUUUCAAAUAUCUCAUCCAUGCUCUUACAGUAGUCUUUUCUUUCUUUUAUAAGGUCUGACAUUUGUCGGCGUACCGACAGCUUUAUCGGGUAAAUACUGAGUCUAAGACUCUUAUUCUAUACCUCAACAUCUGUAAAUAUCAGACAUCUUAUUUUUAAUCAUUUUCGCAAUUUCCAGAAAUUGAAAAAUUUAAAAUAAUUCAAAUCUGUCACUAAAGGGCCUAUAGUGAUAUAACUGUUACUAUAGGUGUUCUUCUUCAAAUUCAGAACUUCAUAAUCGGUUCUCAAGUCAGCUAGUUUGGCCGGCUAUAACUUUCAAAUAUCGGAAUCAUAAUUAAAUGAUUUAAACAUUAAACAAUUCCAUUAUCAUUAAUAGUUUAAUUAAUACUAAACUAUUAAUGAAACCAUUGCCAAAAUAUAAAAGUUAUUUAUAAUAACUCAAACUAUUUUUAAAACAUUUAUAUUACCCAAAUAAUUACCAUUAAUAUUUAAAUAUUAAUGUACUAUUUAUCCAAAUAUUAAAAGUCAUUAAUUAUAACUUAAAAUAUUUUUAAAUCCUUAAUAUCCUCUUUAAAUGGUUUUUAAAUAAGUAAAACCAUUUUUAAACUAUUUAUUUAAUAUUAAUCAUUAAAUAAACUAAAUAUCAUUAAUAUUAUCUUAAUAUCAUUAAUAUUUAAUUAUUAAUGAAAUUAUCAUUUAAAUAUUAAAAGUUAUAUUUUAUAACUUAAAAUAUUUUUAAAUACCUUAUUUUCAUUUAAAAUGAUUUUUAUAAUAUUAAAAUCAUUUUUAAACUAAAUUAUUUAAUAUAAUCAUUAAAUAACUUUAAUAUCAUUAAUAAUUAUUAAUUAAUGAAAUUCAUCACAAAAUAUUAAAAGUCAUCACAAAUAACUCAUUUACAUAAUCAAUUCCAAGCCAAAAUAAACAUAGUAAACUAACUAGUUUAUUAACAACACUAACUAAACUUCAAAAAUUCAAACUUUAACUAACAAUUAAAAAUAAUAACAUUACAAAAAUUAAAUAAGAAACAUACCCGGAAAUACGAAUUCCACAGACUGAAUACGCACUUCCACGCCAAAAUUUAACUAAGGAGAUCUUUAUAAAAAGUUCUCCCACAACAAAGCCUUUCUCAAAAAUUGGAGGCCUU